GACGAACGCUGGCGGCGUGCUUAACACAUGCAAGUCGAGCGGUAAGGCCCUUUCGGGGGUACACGAGCGGCGAACGGGUGAGUAACACGUGGGUGACCUGCCCUCAGCUCUGGGAUAAGCCUGGGAAACUGGGUCUAAUACCGGAUAUGACUCCAUGACGCAUGUUGUGGGGUGGAAAGCCUUGUGCGGCUGAGGAUGGGCCCGCGGCCUAUCAGCUUGUUGGUGGGGUGAUGGCCUACCAAGGCGACGACGGGUAGCCGGCCUGAGGGGGCGACCGGCCACACUGGGACUGAGACACGGCCCAGACUCCUACGGGAGGCAGCAGUGGGGAAUCUUGCGCAAUGGGCGAAAGCCUGACGCAGCGACGCCGCGUGAGGGAUGACGGCCUGG
rnacentral:rRNA from 1 species